rnacentral:rRNA from 1 species
GAUGAACGCUAGCUACAGGCUUAACACAUGCAAGUCGAGGGGAAACGAUAGAGAAAGCUUGCUUUCUCUAGGCGUCGACCGGCGCACGGGUGAGUAACGCGUAUCCAACCUGCCCACCACUUGGGGAUAACCUUGCGAAAGUAAGACUAAUACCCAAUGACGUCCAUAGAAGACAUCUGAAAUGGAUUAAAGAUUUAUCGGUGAUGGAUGGGGAUGCGUCUGAUUAGCUUGUUGGCGGGGUAACGGCCCACCAAGGCGACGAUCAGUAGGGGUUCUGAGAGGAAGGUCCCCCACAUUGGAACUGGGACACGGUCCAAACUCCUACGGGAGGCAGCAGUGAGGAAUAUUUGUCAAUGGGCGAAAGCCUGAACCAGCCAAGUAGCGUGCAGGAUGACGGCCCUAUGGGUUGUAAACUGCUUUCAUAAGGGAAUAAAGUGAGUCUCGUGAGACUUUUUGCAUGUACCUUAUGAAUAAGGACCGGCUAAUUCCGUGCCAGCCGCCGCCGUAA